GAUGAACGCUGACAGAAUGCUUAACACAUGCAAGUCAACUUGAACUUCGGUUUGGGUGGCGGACGGGUGAGUAACGCGUAAAGAACUUGCCUCACAGAUAGGGACAACAUUUGGAAACGAAUGCUAAUACCUGAUAUUAUGAUUAUAUGGCAUCGUAUAAUUAUGAAAGCUAUAUGCGCUGUGAGAGAGCUUUGCGUCCCAUUAGCUAGUUGGAGAGGUAACGGCUCACCAAGGCGAUGAUGGGUAGCCGGCCUGAGAGGGUGAUCGGCCACAAGGGGACUGAGACGCGGCCCUUACUCCUACGGGAGGCAGCAGUGGGGAAUAUUGGACAAUGGACCAAGAGUCUGAUCCAGCAAUUCUGUGUGCACGAUGAAGUUUUUCGGAAUGUAAAGUGCUUUCAGUUGGGAAGAAAAAAAUGACGGUACCAACAGAAGAAGUGACGGCUAAAUACGUG
rnacentral:rRNA from 1 species